rnacentral:rRNA from 1 species
GAUGAACGCUGGCGGCGUGCCUAAUACAUGCAAGUCGAGCGAAAGGACGAGACGCUUGCUUCUUUGUUGUUAGCGGCGGACGGGUGAGUCACACGUGGAUAACCUCCCUAUAUGACUGGGAUCAUUUCGGGAAACCGGAGCUUAUCCCGGAUAAUCUUUUGAACCGCAUGGUUCAAAAGUGAAAGACGGUCUUGCUGUCACUUAUAGAUGCAUACGCGCUGCAUUAGCUAGUUGGUAAGGUAACGGCUUACCACGGCAAGGAUGCAUAGACGACCUGAGAGGGGGAUAGGCCACACGAGAGGUGAGACAGGGACCAUGCGACUACGGGAGGCAGCAGUAGGGUAUCGUCCGCAAUGGGCGAAAACCUUACGGAGCAACGCCGCGUGAGUUAUGAAGGUGUUCGGAUCGGAAAGCUCGGUUAUUAGGGAUGAACAGAUGUGUAAGGAACUGUGCACAGCGUGACGGUACCUAGUCAAAAAGCCACGGCUAACUACGUG